rnacentral:lncRNA from 1 species
AAAUUUUUUGUGGCCAAAACAAAUAUUAAGAUAAAAGUCAGUGGGGACUAUAAUUUGAGUUAUUCAAAUGCAAUAAAUCCGCGGAACCAAACGAGUUGCUAAUUUUACGUUAGACGCCCUUUAAUUUCACGCUGCCAUUUGUGGCUUCCGUUUCGUAUAAGUUUGGGUCGAUGAUUUUUAGAAUUUGCAUUUUCAAUUUGAAUAUAAAAAACCGCCGCUGCAGGUUUGCAGCUUUUAAAGUGAUCCGCAAUCUCAUUCCUAGUCAGUCGAAAAAAGUUCCAUUACCGAAUGACAUUUAUGAAGAAAUUGUGCAUAUUAAAUUGGGAUAUUGAUAAGUGAUAUCAUUGUUCCCAAGAAGUGAACGUCUAAACACAAAGGCAGACGGAUGAACAUUGCUAAAUGGACAGGCUUUCUUCUACCUCUUACAUACUUCUCAACGAAUCACAUAUACACUAUACUAUAAUGUGUUCACAAAAUACCAAAAAUGAUCAAGGUCUACACUCUAACGAUGUGCUGAAGUAGCUGCGCCGCAGAAAGAUAAAGCCUAAUGUGGAAAUACAAAUGUAAUUGCUUGCAGUUAAUUGACCCACAUACGAUUUCUAGCCAAGUCAAUGUCAAGUGUUGCUUCGGCUGACUUACUACAAAAGUUAAUUGCACUGCACGCACAUGCCAAAAGGUAAAAAGAGUCGCGAGCCUCGGCGACAGGCUUCCAAAACCCUGUAUAUCCACAUCACCAGACCUCAGGACCUCAACUUACGACUCUGGCUACGAGGCGCGUGUGUGCAAUAUCAGGUUUCCGCAUCGACUUGCAUAGUGAUUCGAGGAUGUGCGAAAAUAUGAUUUAAAUUAAGGGAUCAUCAGUUUGCAACAGACUAUUUGUAUACCUUCCUUUUAGAAUAUAUAUAUAUUUUUUAUAGAAAUAUGUAAUACUAGUUAAGUCUUCUAAAGGAAAUACAUUUUUACACGUU